rnacentral:rRNA from 1 species
CAAGAAGUCAAGUUAUAUAUAUAAAGGUAAAAAGGCAGUUAUAUUAGAAUUUAAGCUUAUUAAUCUUUUUUAUAGGGGUAGAAUUCGUAUAAAUAUAGAUAAUUUUAUAUAAGCGAAAAUAUUGAAGCUGCGAUAAUCUUGAGGGAAACUAGGAUUAGAUACCCUAUUAUUCUUGAUCAUAAAUUAAUUUAUUUACCUGAGUACUAUGAAUAUUAAAAAUUUAAAACUCAAAGAGCUUGGCGGUGUUUUAGACCUCUCAGGGGAACCUGUUUUAUAAUCGACAAUCCACGCUAAACCUAACCUAUUUUUGUAUUCAGCUUGUAUACCGUUGUCGUCAGGUAACUUUUAAAAAGCUAAAAGUUGGCAACAUAAAUUUAAUAAAUUAAAACGUCAAAUCAAGGUGCAGCUAAUAAAUAGGUAAAAAUGGGUUACAAUUAAAAAGUAUAAUAACGGAAAGAUAAAAUAAUAAUUAUCUUGAAGGAGGACUUGAAAGUAAAAUAAUUUAUAUAAGUAGUUGAAUCUGGCUCUGAAACGUGCACACAU